UACGGAGGGGGCUAGCGUUGUUCGGAAUUACUGGGCGUAAAGCGCGCGUAGGCGGACCUGCAAGUCGGGGGUGAAAGCCCGAGGCUCAACCUCGGAACUGCCUUCGAUACUGCGGGUCUCGAGUCCGGGAGAGGUGAGUGGAAUUCCGCGUGUAGCAGUGAAAUGCGUAGAGAUGCGGAGGAACACCGAUGGCGAAGGCAGCCCCCUGGGCCAAUACUGACGCUCAGGCACGAAAGCGUGGGGAGCAAACAGG
rnacentral:rRNA from 1 species